rnacentral:rRNA from 1 species
GGGACCUUCGGGCCUUGCGCUAUCAGAUGAGCCUAGGUCGGAUUAGCUAGUUGGUGAGGUAAUGGCUCACCAAGGCGACGAUCCGUAACUGGUCUGAGAGGAUGAUCAGUCACACUGGAACUGAGACACGGUCCAGACUCCUACGGGAGGCAGCAGUGGGGAAUAUUGGACAAUGGGCGAAAGCCUGAUCCAGCCAUGCCGCGUGUGUGAAGAAGGUCUUCGGAUUGUAAAGCACUUUAAGUUGGGAGGAAGGGCAGUUACCUAAUACGUAUCUGUUUUGACGUUACCGACAGAAUAAGCACCGGCUAACUCUGUGCCAGCA